CUCUCGUUCUUUCGCUCUUUCUUCUCUCGCGUGCGUGAGAAAGUGUGGCAGUGUGUCAGUUAAGGCCGACGGGCCACGCAGCGUGGGAACUAUUACGCGGCGCGAAUGAUAAGUGCAUCUUUCUAUCCAUCUGCCAAAAUUAAAAAAAAAAAAGAAAGACCUCGUGAUUAAUAUGUCAAAGUUUGACAGACAACUCCACCUUAUCUAUCGACCAAUGAAAAGAAACGAGAAUGACCUCACGAUCGAAAGCGCAGGUGUCAAACUGCGGUUGUCGACGGCCACCAUUUUGCAUAUUUAACAUGUUUCCCUCAUCCAAGCCACCUAAUUCAAAUGAUCCAAGAUUGUUAUCAGGCUCCCACGGAGCUUGCUGGUGAGCUGAUUCCACAUCAUGUCCAACAUACCGAUAUGAAACGCUACAUGCAACACUGAAGGGAAGUUGAUUAUAUCACCGGAUUAACAACCCCUAAUCUCGUUUGAGGGAAUUACCAAAGUCAACAGGUCAUGUCGAUAUGACCAACGGCUG